AGUUACCAGCACGUUAUGGUGGGCACUCUAAGGAGACUGCCGGUGACAACCGGAGGAAGGUGGGGAUGACGUCAAGUCAUCAUGGCCCUUACGGCCUGGGCUACACACGUGCUACAAUGGUCGGUACAAAGGGUUGCCAAGCCGCGAGGUGGAGCUAAUCCCACAAAACCGAUCGUAGUCCGGAUCGCAGUCUGCAACUCGACUGCGUGAAGUCGGAAUCGCUAGUAAUCGUGAAUCAGAAUGUCACGGUGAAUACGUUCCCGGGCCUU
rnacentral:rRNA from 1 species